CGUCACUCCGAUACAUAACAACGCUUAAAUGUAUUCAUUUUAGUCUUAAAAUACUUGACAGUUUGAAACAUUAAAUUGCAAUGGCGCCCCGGGAAGAGAUCAUAUCUCCACCGCCAGAGCGCGCUCCAGUCCAAACAGCCCCCCGCCCCCCGGCCCCCGGACGACUGCAGCGCCCCCCUCACGACCACCCCGCCGUCUACAUACGACCAGCCACCGUCAGGCCUAACAUCGCUAUCCGACGCUAGGUGGCGUUAUUA